AUACGGAGGGUGCAAGCGUUAAUCGGAAUUACUGGGCGUAAAGCGCUCGUAGGCGGUUUGUUAAGUCGGAUGUGAAAGCCCCGGGCUCAACCUGGGAACUGCAUUCGAAACUGGCAGGCUAGAGUAUGGUAGAGGGAAGUGGAAUUCCGGGUGUAGCGGUGAAAUGCGUAGAUAUCCGGAGGAACAUCAGUGGCGAAGGCGGCUUCCUGGACCAAUACUGACGCUGAGGUGCGAAAGCGUGGGGAGCAAACAGGAUUAGAAACCCGAGUAGUCC
rnacentral:rRNA from 1 species